AUGGCCCACGGCGCCGGAUGCCUCGUCCGUCAGCCCGCCUCUGCCCUCGCCUCCAGCUCACCUCUCCCAUGCCAUCAGCCUGCGAUGGAUGGGAUGCCAGGAGCUGCCGUCUCAGCCACGUCGGGCGGGGACCGCUCACGGGGCCGGCUGUUUGGGGCCAUUAAUCAGGCCUCUAAUGAGGGCAGCCGGCUUCUCCUCUGCUGCUUCUCAAGGGCACAGAUGCACAGCGGGCUUGGCGGCUCCGAGGCUGUAUCCUGGGAGGGGGAAGGACGGGGUGGGGACGCAGGGACGGCACGGAGCAGCACGGCCACCGGGCUGGCAGGGCCAUCUCUCACCAGGCUCCCGAGAGCACAGACAGGGGACACGGGGGUGGACCCAGCACCGGGCCAGCUAAGUCCUGGGGACGCAGGGAUCCCCUGGGAGGGGAGGCCGCGUCCUUCCCAGUUCAGGAGGGGUCCUGGCCCAUCCCGGUGGGAGUGGACAGAGGGGGCCGCCUCCUGGGGUCGGGCUCCGACCCCCGCCCUGGGGAGCGGCGGGGACCACCCUCCAGGGCUGUUCAGGGGUCCCGCCCAAGGUCACGCCCUCCUCACCCACAGGUGCCAGUGUCCCAGGCCGCGGGAGCAGGACCCCGCGGGCAGGACCGCACAGAAACCCUCUCGCAGCGCGGGAGCCCAGAGACCCGCCCUCGCUUCCCCAAGCCAGCCCCAGAGGCUCGGGCGGGACGCUGUGCUGGCGCCCUCUGCUGGCUGGUCCUCUCUGCCCGCUCUGCCCUGUGCCCAAGCGCCACCUCCCUAUGCCCCACCCGGCGGUUUGCUGAGCCCACGCCCCCGGGCCGGGCAGGGUGCAAACACGAGCAGAGCCUGGCGGGAGCUGGGAGGCUGGGGACAAGCCCCCAGCUUGUGUGAGGUGCCGGGGCCCAUGGGGGCGGGCGGAGAGCGUCCAGAACCUCUGAGGGGCUUCGGUCUGAGGGACGGCGGGGCCCGGGCAGCGAGCUGUCCUGGGCGACGUGGUCAAGGCAGAAGGAAGACGGGGCGCAGGCCGGAUCCCAGACCGAGCACCGUCUCUCUGGCCAGCACUGGGCCCAUCCCCACUCUGAGAAUUUCCGGGAGAAACCCCACUCCUCUGCCUGGGACGCCGCCCCCUCCAGGCCCGACCCAGCCGUCUCCACGCAGCUCGCAGCUCGUGCUCUGAGCCUGACGUGCAAGGGGGCGGAGGGAGCCCGGGAGCAGAGGCAGCCGGACAAGACAGAAACACGUCCUGUCUCCAGAGAGUUGACAGCCUCACCCUGAGGCCAGGACGGGUAGAAAUAAAGGCUCGCGGAGAACAAGGAGGAAACUGAAAAUACGGGAGCAGACACAGACUUAAAAGGAAGGAGUCGACCCUGAGGAUAUGCCCCGUUCAGAACAGCAAACCAAGGUGUCCCGAAGGGACCUGGGCGUGAAGGUCGAGAGGAAACCAACCCGCAGGUUCGGUCGGGAAAACAGAAGUUCCAGGAGCAGGAGCAGGGAUGCCAAAAGGAAGGCGUCAGACGAAUUAAAGGACUUCUCCUGGGUUUGAAGGACUUGCAUUUUAAGUCUGAAAGUCCAGAGACAAGCUCUCAGGUGCCUGAAAAAAGACCAGCUCCAAGAGCGCAAUCCUGUGAAAUUUCAGAACAUCAGUGAUGGAGAGAAGUAGUUUUGUUUUGUUCUGUUUUAAUUCAGAAAGACAGGAAGGCAAGUCAUGUGACAUUAACAAGCCCCGAGUCGGGGUAAUAGCACCAUUCUCAGCAGCACCCCUGGGCUCAGGGAGAAGCCGUGCCUCCAGCCUUUGAGGGGCAGCAGUUUCCAGCCUGGAAUUCUGCCGCUGGUCCAACUGCCCCUCACCCCUGAGAGCAGACAUGCCAGCUCUAAUGGGCUUCCCUGGCGGCUCAGCGGUAGAGGCUGUGCCUGCAAAGCAGGAGUGACAGGAGACGCAGGUCCGACCCCUGGGUGGGGAAGAUUCCCUGCAGAAGGGCAUGGCAACCCACUCUAGUACCCUUGCCCGGGUAAUGCCAUGGGCAGAGGAGCCUGUCGGGCUACAGUCCAUGGGGUUGCAAAGAGACUCGACUGAAGCGACUUAGCACGCGUCUGAGCUGUAAUCACUUUCAAUUCCCAGGAAACAACCAGAGGUGCUGCACUGACCUCAGCUUGUGUCCAGGAGGGCGGGGGUCCCCCAGGCGAGGCGCCUCGGUGGCCGGCUGAGCAGUUAGAAGGCUCUGGAAAGAGUCUCCAGGAGGGCAGAGGAGGUCCCAGGAUUCCUGGCACGUUGACUCCUCAGAAAAGAGGUUUCAUGCCAACGUCCUGAUAAACGGGUGAUAGACACAGGAAGGAAAUAUUAACACGAGGGCAACAAAAUGUUUUACAGGAAAUGAAGCUGACGUGACAGCCGCGAGCGCUGUUUGCAUAUCGACAGGGCUGCCGAGGCUGAGCCCCAGUCUUGCCGAGGGGAGGGGGGGAGGCGAUUGAAACCCCUCUAUGAGAAGGUUGUCAGGUUUGGAGGGGAAGCGGGGGAGAAUGAAACCAUCACUCUCCAUAAUAGGAAAUCGAUACGUAUAUAAUCCAAGAAGGAAAAAAAGUCAGGGAAAAGCAGUGUAAGCGUGUUUUGUGGAGGAGACGGAGGUAAACACAAAGAGGAGUGACUCGAUUGAGAUUCUCUGCUUCGGAAGGGCAGGCAGGUGUGGGAAGGGCGGGAGUUGCAGGGGCGGAGGGUAUGCCACUGCCGCUUUUCAUGAAAAGCCCAAGACACUGUUUGCCCCGAGCAGAGUCAGAGCCGGCAGGUGGCGGACAGCCUGCCUCCAGGGGCCGGCGCCCCCGGUCAUAGACUGCGCAUCGCCCGUGAGUGGCCGCCUGGGCCACUGGCCAGGCCCCCUGAGGUCCUUUCUGAGGACAGUACUAUCCCAGGCCGCGUGAGGACAAGUGCUCUGAGAGAUGAGGCUUCUGCCUGCCUCGUCCUCAGCAGUCCUCGGGGUGUCCACUCACCACCCAGGGAGCUGGCUCCUGGGAGCCCCAGGGUGAGGGUACACCUGGCCCCUGACCAAUCUGCCCAUCGUGGAGGCAGGGGGCCCAGCCGGGCUUGCUGGCUUGGGGAGCUGACUGGUCCGGUUUCCUGGGACCUCCCCCGCACCCUGGGGCCCUUUCAGGGUCCAGACGGCUACUCCCUCCCUGGUGGAGACCUGUCCUCUCAUGCAGAGCGUGAGUCCAUUCUAACUCAGCCGAGGAGAAUGCGGGCGGGUGUGUCUGUCUCUGCCAUCACAGUGACGCCGUCCCAGACGCUGCCAGGAGCUCAGGGCAUGACGUGCCCGCAGCUCCAGCCCAGCUCUGGGCACCUCUACUGACCUCGGUCGGCUUCUUCACACACCUGGGGUCACUGGUCCAAGAGACCAGAAGCCCCAGAUGGAGCCGGAGGGAAGCCCCUGGGUGGACGCAGAGCCCCAGGAAGCCACAGAGGGGGAAGGGCUGCACCCAGCGGAGUUUGGCCUCGUACAGGAUGGGGCACCUAUACGACGGGAGUGAGGACUUGGGGCUGCCACGGAAGGGAAGGGACGGUGAGCUGGACCCGACUGCCUGCAAAGAGUGAAAACGGCCAGAAGUCUGACAGUACACAAACUGCCUGGCCGGGUCCCGUCUGCAGGGGCAGAUGCACGCUGAGUGGGCACGUAGCCUGGGGCCAGGGCCAGACACUGCCCUGCUCUCUGGGCGUGAAGUCUAGGGGACUCGCUCCCCCCGACGGAGGCCAGGAGAUCCUGCUGGGCAGGCCCCUGGGAGGAGAGAUCUGCCCAUCACCAUCCAUCACGCUGGCCUUUGAAGCCAGCAUCCAGCCUCUUCCUCUUGGUGUUGUAAUGAGCUCCUGAUUAUUGAUUCCAUUGCUAUUUACAUAUUUUGUGAAGGAUGGAGACUUGAUCUGUGUUGCUAAGUAAGAGAAGUAUUAUUCUCUCACAGAAGGAAGUCUUAAAUAAAAAUAUUACCAUAAAGAAAAUGUAAGUUACUCCUCUAAUGUAUUCAGAUGGUCCUUGCCCGGCGUGCAGAUCCAUGUAGCUCUUAAUCAUUUCCUUGCCUGGCUGGCACCCAUACACAUGUGCUAUUGAUUUUUUUUCCCCAGCAAGUGUAAGAAAUAUACAUUUUAUUUACUCUUUAAGAAAUCCCAACACCCACGGGCUGCUGCUUUACAGCAGGCACAGUCUGCAGCUGUCAGAAAGCUCAACAGAGUCCGGGGAAAACAAAUCCCCAUCGUUCUGCUAAUGGAACUUCCCGGCUGCCCCAGAUGGAGGGGCGAGCUGGAGGGCGUCCAGGCGGCCGAUCCCAUCUCCAUGGACGGAAUCAGCUGCAGCAUGAGGCCCAGAAGGGUGGGAGGACGUCAAGGAACGACGGGGCUGGCCUCUCAAAGACAGACGGUCGCUGGGGGUUCGGGGAGCACUCAGGACGCCUUGUUUUCAUGGCUGAGAACACUCUCACACUGUUCCUGGCAUCGCAAGGGCCCCUUCCCAGAACCCGUCGGCUUACCUGACCUAGGGAGGCCCAAACAGCAUCUCCAGGGCUCACCUGGGCCCCAGGAGGCAGGAACCAUGAGAGACGGUGAGCUUCUCCCCCUAGAGGUCGGCGCGGUUUUGCGGGCUCCAGGCCGAAUUGAACUGAUGCUUUUGAACUGUGGUGUUGGGGAAGACCCUUGAGAGUCCCUUGGACUACAAGGAGAUCCAACCAGUCCAUCCUAAAGGAGAUCAGUCCUGCAUACUCAUUGGAAGAGCUGAUGAUGAAGCUGAAACUCUAUACGUUGGCCACUGGAAGCAAAGAACUGACUCAGUGGAAAAGACCCUGAUGCUGGGAAAGAUUGAAGGCAGGAAGAGAAGCGGACGACAGAGGAUGAGAUGGUGGGAUGGCAUCGCCGACUCAAUGGACAUGAGUCUGAGCAAGCUCUGGGAGUUGGUGAUGGACAGGGAGGCCUGGUGUGCUGAGGUUCAUGGGGUCUCAAAGAGUCGGGCAUGCCUGAGUGAUUGAACUGAACUGAACUGAACUGAAUCUAUCAGGAUUAGUCAGAAGGUUUUCCAGGAAGGAGAGACUCCCCAGGCAGGAUGCAUUGCUGUUAUAUAAUCCUUAGUACAGAGUUUAAGCUAAGUCUGUUGUGUAGUCGUCACUUCUGUGUUUAUGUGCCUAAGACUAAGGAAUGUAGAGAAAAAAGACGUUUGUCCUGUCCUCCUCCUUGAGAGCCCCAGAGCCCUCUCUCCUCCUCGGAGAGCCCGGGAGCUGACUUUCAUGCCCACCCCCCUCUCUCCCCAGCUCCUGGAAGCCAGCCCCCCGUCUUAUCUCCCCUGAACCCCAGGCCCCCCACCGUCUGGCUGCUGUCCCCAACAUCCAGGAAAACUCUUCCUCCCUGUGACGGACACGUGAGAGGCUGAGCAGGAGCAGAGCCAAGGGGUCGUCCCCGUC
rnacentral:lncRNA from 1 species